UCUGCUUCGUUACUUUUGAUCUUUUUAAACACUUUUGAUUCUUGUUUCUUGUGUUUUUCUUCUGGUUUGGAUUCUGUGCAGCUGAAAGGAUUUUUUUUUUCCCCCAAAAAUAUUUUAUUGAGAUUUUUCACUUUGGAAAUACAAUCAUAUACGUAUCUGAACACGUUUUCUUUGUGGUUAUUACAUGACCGUAAUUAUUCUUUCUCAACACAGAGAAAUGAAAACAAAGAAAGA